rnacentral:misc_RNA from 1 species
UUAACUAUUAUCAUAGUACUCAGACGACACUGAUAAUCAGGAAUAUUGGGUCCUCUGGCGGGCGGCUUACCAGCCGAAGCCGAUAGCCUGACCGGAGCCUGGCGGCCCGCCAAAGCAACAAGGUAAUAAUAACAUAGGGUGGGAGAUCUACCCGUACGGGCACGAAACUCGGUAAUGAUCCCUCCGCAGGUUCACCUACGGAGA